CAAUUUUCAAUGACUGUCAACAAGCAGUCAGGGAACCUGGUGUUGAGAACAGUGUUCAGGUGUGUGGUCACUCUGCCCAGAGCUGUCAGAGAGGUGAGGGACAGGCUGAGUACCGAGCUGCAGCUGGCAGCUCCUCCUCUCUUCUGGAAGCAAAGACAUCAGCUCCUCAGCUCUCUUCACCGCCUCUGUGUGCAUCUCACGGUCCUACAGAUUCUCUUUUCACGCAGUUAAGCAAUGCUCAUCGUGCUAAAUUAUAGAUUUCCCAUGCCUAUGCUGUGCAUGUAAGAGAAACCGAAGCCUUAAACAUUCCCCUGAAUUAAAAUCUGCACAAGGGGGGAAAAUAUUGCUGAACCACUGCAAGUGCCUUUACUGGCAGAAGGGCACUUAAUUUGACUAAAAUAAUUACAACAAGUUUUGUAAUAGAGCUUAACCUAUUGAUUGUCAUCCUGUAAAACUAGACCUGUGUGUAUUGUGAGGUGUGUGCAGAAUCUCUCUGCAGAGGAAGGUGCCUCAGAUGGUGUCUGCUUUGCCCCCUGACCCCUGCCCUCUCUCUCAGGCCUGUGUCCCCAGGACUACCUGCGAAGAUUCUGCAUUGUCUGCAGCAGGAGAAGCAGCCACUACAGGAAGUCGUUCCACAAGUUUGACCGGGACAGGGAUGGAGUGCUGUCUUUCAGGGAGAUGGAAGGCGCUUUGAGGAACGUCUACAUGGACGAGCUGAGCUCCCAGCAGGUGCGCUGGCUGGCAGGGCUGGUGGUCGCUGACAGCACCACUCUCUUCGACAGCACGCUCUUCUGCGCCCUGUGUGCGCUCUCGGAGCGCCUCUUCUACUCCUCUUUCGUAACGGAGGACACAGAGGCCCCCGAGAACGGAGAGAGAAGCCUGCUGGAGGAGGCAGACUUCUGCUCCCUGACGUCUAAAUUGAGGAGCUGCAACAUCCACCCCAGCUUGAAGACCCUGCUCUCCCUGCUGUAGUGCAGCCCAGCCAGCCUCCGGGGCUGUAUUUCUCAGGACAGACAGGGAUCGUUGCUUAAAAAGAGUCUCGGCGCAUAACAUGCUGUUAGAAUAGGAAACUCUCAAAAGAGACCGGUCCCAGACUUGACAAAAGAGCUUCGCACACUGGGCUGUGCUCAAAGUGCCAGAGCUUUGUCGAUCUUUUUAAAUAAAAGACCGCGUGAACAUUCCUUUGCCUGGUGUUUAAAUCGCUCACAGGUGAACAGCCAUCUGGGGAGUGUGCUGGGUACGAGACGAGCUACUGACAGAACCUUCCUGCACACAGGUGCCGUAGUUUCAGCACCAUGUUCCACAGCAGGACCUGAUGCAAAAAGCAUUAAAAUAACAGAUUAUUUCGGGCAGGUCCAGCCAAUUUUAACCCAUCUGGCUGUAAGGAAGUCUUCAGCAUUACCACAAUCGGACCCCGCCUCCUCUUUGUCACAGCCCCCACAGUUCUGAAUACAUUCCCAAUCCCUCCUGUGGAUGAGAUGUGUUUAGGACAACUGUGACGAACAUUGGAUGAUGAGUGAGAACAAUGGAAAGAAUAAUAUGUCUGCUUUACAAUGCUUUGAAGAGAGUAAAGAAUAUAGAUAGAUAAGACUUUUUUAAUCCCGAAGGGAAAUUGAUGUUACAGCAGUCCAGCCCAGGACAAGCAAAAAAACAGACAUCGGAAUAAAUGAAAAAUUAGAAUACGUGCAGUAAAACAAAAUAAAAAUACAUAGGUGUGUGCAAAAUAGGGUCAUAGUCACUGUAAAAAUAAUAAAAUGUGUGCAAAAUGUGCAUAGGUAUAUAAUGUAUAAAUAGGUGUUAAAGGUGUUUUGAUUGCUUUGAAUUAGGCACACUUUGCCGGUUUUGAGAAGGGGCUGCGA
ensembl:lincRNA